CAGUCGCCGCGGGAAAACGUAGGUGGCAAGCGUUGUCCGGAAUUAUUGGGCGUAAAGGGCUCGCAGGCGGUUUCUUAAGUCUGAUGUGAAAGCCCCCGGCUCAACCGGGGAGGGUCAUUGGAAACUGGGAAACUUGAGUGCAGAAGAGGAGAGUGGAAUUCCACGUGUAGCGGUGAAAUGCGUGGAGAUGUGGAGGAACACCAGUGGCGAAGGCGACUCUCUGGUCUGUAACUGACGCUGAGGAGCGAAAGCGUGGGGAGCGAACAGGAUUAGAUACCCCCGUAGUCCCUGUCUCUUAUAC
rnacentral:rRNA from 1 species